rnacentral:rRNA from 1 species
UACAGAGGUCUCAAGCGUUGUUCGGAUUCAUUGGGCGUAAAGGGUGCGUAGGCGGCGCGGUAAGUCGGGUGUGAAAUCUUGGAGCUUAACUCCGAAACUGUAUUCGAUACUGCCGUGCUUGAGGACUGGAGAGGAGACUGGAAUUUACGGUGUAGCGGUGAAAUGCGUAGAUAUCGUAAGGAAGACCAGUGGCGAAGGCGGGUCUCUGGACAGUUCCUGACGCUGAGGCACGAAGGCCAGGGGAGCAAACGGG